UCCAAAUAGGAAAGUCAAUAAACAGCUGACAUUUACCAAUGCCUUGCUUCCGGGUUAUUUUUUCUCCACUCUCCAGAUGUUCUGAAAUGUGUGGUUCCAGAUGCGUCACCUCCAACAGGAUGAUCCCACUCCCCUGGACUGCAUUGCACAAACUUGCGCCAGCAGCACACCGGGGGGACGCCGAAGUUGGAAAGUCUGCAGCGGAGGAGAGUGGGGCGUUGCCUGAGACUGGCUCCCACAGAUUGUGGAGGUUUUCUGAGGUCUUCAAGGAGUAGUUUCUGGUGGAAGGUGCUUUGCACAGGGAUGAAUGUUGUCAGCAGAUAGAGUGGAGAGAGUUACUCCUGAUUGAUGGCCAGGAGACCAAGAGGAAGUGGGUACCUGAGCAGCAGGAUUACUGGAGCCACGGAGAUGAGCUACAUCCAGAUUCUUUUUUUUUUUUUUUUUUUUUCCUUUUUUAGGGCCACCCCUGCAGCAUAUGGAGAUUCCCAGGCUAGGGGUCAAAUCGGAGCUGUAGCUGCCAACCUACGCCAGAGCCACAGCCACGUGGGAUCCGAGCCGCGUCUGUGACCUACACCACAGCUCACAGCAAUUCUGGAUCCUUAACCCAGUGAGCAAGGCCAGGGAUCGAACCAUCCUCCUCAUGGUUCCUAGUUGGAUUCGUUAACUACUGAGCCACGACAGGAACUCCUACAUCCAGAUUCUGACUACGCAAACCAGCAUGGUCUCCAGGAGAGCAGCAGCCUGACCCUCACAGCCACGUGUGCAAUGCAGGUCUCCCACCAAGAGUACUGAGAAUUUAUAACAUUUAAUCUUUGGCAAUUUAAUGAAUUUAAAUGACAUGUUUUUGGUGUUUUGUUUGUGUGUUGUUUGUUUUGGUCAUGCCCUUGGCAUGCAGAAGUUCCCAAGCCAGAGAUCGAUCCUAAGCCACGGCAGUGACAACACCAGAUCCUGAACCUGCCAAGCCACCAAGGAACUCUAUGGCAUAUUUUAUUUUCGUUUUGUACCUUAAAAAGUGAUUUUUUUUUACAUAUUGAUAAAUAUCCAUGUUCUUCCUCAGUAAAGUAUCCGUCUAUAUCUCCUAAAAAAAAAAAAAAAAGGAAUAAUAGUGGAUCGUAAUCUAUAUAGUAAGGAUGUUAACUUUUUAGUUUCAUGUUUGUUGCAGAUCUUUCUUCAUUUGGCACUUGCAUCUAGUUCAGACUAUGAUUUUUGAUGUAAAAAAUAUUUAAACUUUAGGAGUUCCCAUCGUGGCUCAGUGGUUAACAAACAUGACUAGUA
rnacentral:lncRNA from 1 species